rnacentral:rRNA from 1 species
GCCCAACAAGCCAUUGAUCGGUACGGGUUGUGAGAGCAAGAGCCCGGAGAUGGAUUCUGAGACACGAAUCCAGGCCCUACGGGGCGCAGUAGGCGCGAAAACUUUACAAUGCGAGAAAUCGUGAUAAGGGAACCCCGAGUGCCCGUAAAUUCGGGCUGUCCGCCAGUGUAAAUAACUGGUGAAGAAAGGGCCGGGCAAGACCGGUGCCAGCCGCCGCGGUAAUACCGGCGGCUCGAGUGGUGGCCACUAUUACUGGGCUUAAAGCGUCCGUAGCUGGAUUGUUAAGUCUCUUGGGAAAUCCACCGGCUCAACCGAUGGGCGUUCAGGAGAAACUGGCAAUCUAGGGACCGGGAGAGGUGAGAGGUACUCCAGGGGUAGGAGUGAAAUCCUGUAAUCCUUGGGGGACCACCUGUGGCGAAGGCGUCUCACUAGAACGGCUCCGACAGUGAGGGACGAAAGCUGGGGGAGCAAACCGGAUUAGAUACCCGGGUAGUCCCAGCUGUAAACGAUGCGCGUUAGGUGUAUCGGUGACCACGAGUCAUCGAGGUGCCGAAGGGAAACCGUGAAACGU